AAAGCAGUACCAUUCUUCAUGGUGGUAUGAGGGAUAAGAUGCAUAUUUGAAUUAUCCUAUACAAGCACAAGAACGAAUAUAUGCUGCUAUAUACUUGAUUGAUUUGAAUAGAUGAAUGCAGACCGAGUGUAGGAAGUGGAGUGAGGAACAGGUCCAAACUCCAAAUUAAAGUAAAGGGACUAGAGGGAGGAAAAAAACAAAAGGGGACAUUUUACUGCAAUGGAAGAGAGCUGAAUGACAUAAGAAGAAGAAGUAGAAUAAGAAGAAGAAAAAAGUACUUUUCAGGUGAUAUGUAAAGAUAAGUAAUGGCAGUCAUCUUCAUUAUUCGAGCACGAGGCAUAUAAAAGACAGCAAUGAGGUUAAAACAGUUCCUCUCUCAGUUUAUUCCUUUUAGGACCACCAUUUGAUGCUUUUGUAAAAAAAGGGGAAGAGAUAGAUCAGAGAACGAACACAAGACUUGAGCUAUGGAGAGGCAAUGAACCUCUUAAUUUGGUUGAAGGUAUUGUACUUA